UGGAACUUGUAAGUUUCAAAUGCACCUUCAGUAAUGGGUCAAUGACAUAAGUCUAGGAACUAACACUGGAAAUUUCUGUGUCUGUGCAGAGCACCCUUUGCCUUCAAAUGAUGAAGGAUGAUGCCUUAUACCCAGGACCGGAGCUGCCUGCCCUGCCCCAUAUGAAGGCCCAUUAUCACCACAAGACAAAGUUCUAAUUUCUUGUCAUGUCUGGGGGCCUGGCGAGUCAAAGCACUAUACCACUGUCUGUUCUCUCUCUCCCUCUAACACCAUGGGAAGGCUUCUGCAUCGCCUCAAUAUGGACCAGGUGCAGUGUGGGAAUUCCAACGAAGGCAAUCAGAUGGGCGCUAUUGGAGCCCGCAAGUUAGGCUUAAGCAUCUUCAGGUGUGUUUUAGGGUAGCGGGGAAGUGGGGGCGGAGAGGAAAAGUAUGCCCUGACAGAGGGGAGUUAAAAGAACAAGCUAAGGGUCAGUGACGGCUCCAAAAACAGCGAAACCCCAACUGAGCCGCUUCCGCGGCAACCCACACUUUCCCCCAGGGCUGCCCACGCUUUCCCUGAGGAAACUCGAUCUCGCGGGAUCUCAGGAGUUCCACGCGGCUGGCAGGGGAAUCCUGGGUAAGAAACACUGGGCGCCGAGGACGCCGGAUUCCGUCAUCGUCUAUGAUGCCUCUGGCUCAUGUCACCUGUCAUCAAAACCCCAGUGCCUGUAGAGUCCUCACUACCCUUCCCCGACUCAGAGUCACAGAACAGCUGUUCUUACCAGAGGGCCUGGCCAGAUUUGCAUUAUGAUGAGACUCUGCUGUGUAUCCUGUUUACAAGGUGCUUAGGGUAGGACUUCUGGAGUUUCUCUAACAAUGAAAUAAGAAACAAAAAGAAAUGGAAAAUGCUCAAAAUUGGACAAAGAAAAUAAUCAGUGUGAAACAUGAAAACAACUGAAGUCGAUUGACUAUAUUAAAAAUUCCAUAUUCU